CUAAGAUCAACCUGUACUCCAGCUGUUGUGCAUAUUUUUAUGUGACUCUGCAUUUUCCUUGGAAAUUAAGAUGGACUCAAAAAGAAACCACCCUUUCCAAAAGAGGCAGUUUGCUUUUCAAUAUGUUGCAUAACAGAUGCUCCAAAGGAAGUGAGGGAGAGGAGUAAGCCCAGGAAGAGACUACCCUGCAAAGUCCUAGGACCCCAGACCAGCAGGGGAGAAGCUGAAGGAAACAAGACUGCUGUGGUACCCUUAACUUGUCUGUCAAGAAACUAUUAAGGAGAUAUAUGCCAUCCUGAAAUUUCCAACUGAGAAUAGCAGAAGAGACUGCAGACAGACAGCCCAGGUGCAGCGCCUGAAAGCAGAGUACACGCUGUAUUGCAGUUUAGGAAAAUAUUACCUCACUGAGUACCUGCAUCUGUCUUCUCAGCAAGUCACAAGACUAGAAGUAACAAAAGAUCGUGCUCAUACCACUGAUUCUGUCUUUAUACCCCUGGCUGCUUAACAACUGGCGCAGUGCCUAUGAUCCGGCUGAUUAGCCGAUGCCUGCUGAUAUUUGCUAAAUGAACUGGACCGAGAAGUUAGCAUGGAUUCUGUGAAGGCUCCAUAUUCCUGACAACAUUAUAAACAGGUAACUCACUUGCAAAAAAUGUCCUGAUAUGACA
rnacentral:lncRNA from 1 species